GAGGAUGUUGUUACGUAAAUUUUGAGCCAACAAUUCAUGCUCCGCUUUUAUCUCUUUUUACUUUAACUUCAAAGUGUUAAGUUUGUUGUAAGAAUUUUUCAGAGAGGAAAAAGAGACGUUGACACUUAUUUAGAGUAAAGAAGCGCUCUGCUAUUUCCACGUUCCAUAACGUAAGCAACAGUGGAAAACGACUAUAUUACUUUUUAAGAUGUUUGUUUUCAAGCAAAUGCGAGAGAUGCACAGCUGGUUCUCACACUUUGGCAGAGGCACUUAAGAGAAUUCAAAGGAUUUAAAAAACUCUUUGGUGAUUAAACUGAAGUAGAUUUUAAACAGGUUUUUCUUUUUCGUGAAUUAUUGCGUGCGAAAAAAAUGUAUUUUUGCUUUCG